rnacentral:rRNA from 1 species
AGCAUGUGGUUAAUUCGAAGCAACGCGAAGAACCUUACCUGGGUUUGACAUAUGGGUGGUAGGGAACCGAAAGGGGACCGACCUUCGGGAGCCCAUACAGGUGCUGCAUGGCUGUCGUCAGCUCGUGCCGUGAGGUGUUCGGUUAAGUCCGGUAACGAGCGCAACCCUCGUCGUCAGUUACAAGUGUCUGACGAGACUGCCCGUGAUAAGCGGGAGAAGGUGGGGAUGACGUCAAGUCAGCAUGGCCUUUAUAUCCAGGGCUACACACACGCUACAAUGGCCGGUACAAUGGGUCGCCAACCCGCGAGGGGGAGCCAAUCCAAUAAAGCCGGUCUCAGUUCGGAUUGCAGGCUGCAACCCGCCUGCAUGAAGUCGGAGUUGCUAGUAACCGCGCGUCAGCACAGUGCGGUGAAUACGUUCCCGGGCCUU